UCUUACGGAUGAGUAAAGAAAGUGGUUUCUUAAGGUAGAGGCCACUCCUGGUGAAGAAGCUGUGAA
rnacentral:pre_miRNA from 1 species